AGAUUUAGUAUAAUUAGUAUUUCUUAUUGUCUGUAAGUAGGUUUGUGUCUUUU
rnacentral:tRNA from 1 species